AUUCAUUUUUUUUCCUAUGGGGAACUCUCUUUUUCUUCAAUGACUACUUUCUUCAGUUAUCACAGAAGGUGUACCUCAUAGGAAGUCAGGAGACAGAAGUCAGGCUUCUUAAGAUAGAAAUAGCAUGUGACAAGUUGGUGGUAGAACCGUGGGAAAGCAUGCUGUAAUAAUAUACAACUUUGAGAAGUUUGUCUCAGUAUGUGUUCUUAUUGCUGCUCUAGCCUACUGUGUAUGCCAGGAUGCAGCGGAGCGGGGACUUGAACACCUGCUUCAGAGGAAGUGAUGUUCAAAUGAGGGUCAUAGGAAAGAGAAAAGUCUUCACAAAACAUGAUGCUACAUUAGCUUAGGCUGGAUCCUGGUCCUUCCCACAGCUGUGUUGGUGGCAUUUGACCUAGAUGCAACGCUGUGACAAGCCUGACUCUGCCAUGGCAGUGUGAAUCUACCCUUAAAUCUUUCUUAACAGGCUCCUUGCUCCUUCUAGCAUCUGCUUCCUUCGAGAUCCAUGUAUUGGUACUUCUAUCCUAGCUACAUGAACUGACCCUCUGACUUCUGCAGCUUGAAAAUUUGUCUUGGAAAUUGGAACCCUGGACUGGACCUUGACCUCAGUGAAUCAAGCCAUAGUGGUGGAACAUAGACAUGACACUUUUGAUUGCAUAAUGUAUACACAGAUGUGAAGAAGAAUGGAUGUGGGUCACUGUGGAGCUGUGUCUUCUGCUUAAGACGAUGAAUGAACCAUGCCUCAUGCUGCAGUCCAGAAAAGGAGUCCCCAGACAAGAAAAGACAUCUGUUUACCUCUACACUAGCUUUUGUGCAGUAUCCAUUUUACUGCUUUGUUAAACCAGGGCCUCCAAAUCUUCACAGAAGACACUUAGACGUAUCCCACAACUGUAUCCUUCAGGGCAACUGAACAUGAAAAGAGGAUUUGUACAGAUGAGGUAUGGCUCAAAUUUUGUAGGAGACAGCCACUAGAAUGGCAAAGGGAGAGAAGCUAUAAAAAAUUCAGCAGCCACGAUUCUACACACACAUCCUCUGCUCUGUACCAAAGAGAAUAUUCAGAGUUGCUAUAAAAUAUACAAGUCAGAUUCUGAGUUGGUGCACUUAUCCACGCCUAAGAAUCUGAGAUAACUAAUUACGCAAUAACCCGGAGUGCAUUUCUCUUGUACGUAAAGGGAAUCACAGUUAAAGAACAAAAGCAAACAUUUGCUGAAUUCACGACCAAGACCUACAUCAGGCUUCAUGCUGAAGCUCGAAACCCUGCAAUUUGAACAUCACAAAGCCAGAGGUAUAGUUACUGGAUUUUCUUUGAAGUGUCUUCACAUAGAUACAAGUUGGAAUCCACCCAUAAAUAUAAAGAAAUGUGAAAACAGCAUUGCCACAAAUAACAGAUGUUUUCCUUCCACUGCCAGCACGCUCAAGGUAAAGGUUAAUUUAUUUUUAUUUAUUUUUUUGGUCCAAAACCAACCAAACAAACAAACUGAAAUCCAAGAAAGACAAACAACAUGGUUAGGAGCUAAGCCUUCCAACAGGUGAAAUUGCUGUUAAUGCAUUCGAUAAAUUAUUCCCUUGUCUCAUGGGAAAACCAGAUGGUUCAGGUGGGAACCAACACUGUGUUUUGGAAGUCCUUGUACAUUGUAUUUUUGAAUAUAAAAGAUAACCUGAAAUCUAUCCAUGCUUAUGAAAAGAGAAAAGAAAAAUAAGGAAAAGAACCAUAGGAAGAUUAUCAGGCACGGGAAGGUGCCAUACAGAAAGGCGAUGUUGAGCUGGAGAAGGAUCUGACAGACAGAACAUCACAACUUUUCAUCCAUCUCACUGCUGCUGUUUAUAGUUUCAAAGGGUAGCAGAAGCUCAUGCAUUAAGGAUAGCGAUGGAAAACAAAUGGAGUGAGAAGCCUACUUAACAUGGCUUUACACGGUGGUUCUUUUAGAGAAAAGAAAAUUAAAAAGAGAACUUCUCUCUUCUAGCUAGUGCAUUUGUUAGGGAAAAAUGUUAAAGUGAGUCAUUUGCAGUCAAAAUGAACCAAUAGGAGAUCGAUCUCCCUAGGUGUGCUUGCUGGUGGCUCACCCUCCACACACUGCAAUGAUGCAGGGUCUGGCUGAAGCGAUAGCUAAUUGAGGAUUGUUCCUUCUGUCUUUUAGUUUAAAUCCAAUCCUUGGACAUGAAAACUUUCAAAGACAAAGAGCUACAUUAAUUUAGUAAUUCCAGAGUGUUUAAUACAUCUGCCACUGUCUGGUGGUUUUCUUCAUUUUCAACCACUUGACAGCUACUGUGAUCACAAGUUUCAGAGAAUCUAUUUCCCUGUGUAAAAUUAACAGCAAUAAAGCAAGCUAAAUGGAAUAUGACCAAAUCAGAGAGUUCUCAUAUUGCAGGACUUCAAAGAAUCCUAGAAGUACUGUGGUGCAGACUUGUGUUCUAAUCAUGAAUGCAAACGCUGCUCUGAACCAGAGGUCUGUCACUUACUACCAAGACAGAUGUCAUGGACACUCAUUUACAGAUGUCAACAGAAUUGCCCAUCACCAAAGACAGCCUUGUGCAGAUCACACUCUCCAUGCUCAAAGCAUGGGACUUUUCUCUUCCUUUAAACGGAGGACAUUUGUACGGAAUACGGUAGGCUCUUCUUGAUAAUUUUUCUUUUCUAAUGGUUUUCCCCUCCCUGUGUGUAUUUUUAAGGGGGAAAGAAAGCAAAGGGCAGCAAAAGCAGCCUUAAGUGCUUGGCAAAUGAUCUUCCUGAAUCUGGACCUCAUAAAUCCUGUAAAAUUGUUAUAUUUCAACAAUAGGCUGGAAAAGCUUUUCUCUGCAAUGAUGAAGCCCAGCUUCAAAAUUUAUGGUUUCAUUUCAGAAAUGGACUAUAAAAAGAGACUGACUUAGCUGUCUAUCAACUAAGCCUGACAAUAGCAAAUAAGGUGUGAGCUUUCAAUGUCAAAUAGAUAUUUAAUAUUAAAAUUCUCAGAUUAAACAUUGCAAAGGGGUCUCCUGUGCAGCGCACGCUGAUGAGAAGGGUGAUAGAUGGAGGGUGGGUUGUCAUAGCAAUGUCCAGACCCUGAAGUGACAUUUCUCUCAGUAUCUACUUUUUUUUUUUUUUAAUACUCUGCUCAAAAGGAUGCUAUUCUAUUGGAGGGAAGGGUGAGUCAAUUAAACAAGAUCUAAGCAGAUCUGGCUUGGUUCAGCACAUAAAAAGCCCAAGUGUGCCAUCGCUCACUCUUUUUGUCAAGGAGGUUAUGAAAACCUGCAUCCUAAUACAUCUUGAUAAAUUCACAUAGAUCUGUUGAAUGGUGGCAAAGAGAAAUUUACUCCAGAAUCCAGUCUCUGGAUGGACCACUGAGGCAGAAUAAGAACUUCAAGUGGUAACUAUGAAAGGCAUUAGUGUCUAUCAUAACUCUUAAACC